GGAUAAUAGGGAAGCUGCAAUUUGCAAAGGAAGUCGGAAAUAUUUAUUAGGAUCAUAAAAAGAUCAUGGAAUGCUCACACGAUUACAGUUAUUACUGUGUAUCAGUGGGGUGUGUAAACAUUAUUAGGACUCUGUAUUCCUAAAUGUUUUACAGCGAACAAUUAGUUAAUGUAUCUGCAAAUGUAUCUGUAAGCAUUCUAUCACACCUAUGCAUUACCACCUAAUCAGACAAUUUGCAUCCUUCAUACAUAACUCGAAUUAUUCUCAUUUAUCCGCAAACACUUUCUGAUAGAUCUCUCAAGAGUCAAGCUACCAUCAACUCUUGCUUAAUGAGCCUGCCAUUAUUUACUUUAGUUAAGUAAUAGCUCCUAAUGCAUAUCACCAGCAGUAACUAUCUAAUGCCACACCCAGGAGCGCAUUAUCUCGUUUUUCAUUAGUACCUAAUGCAAAACCUCUAAUAAAGAAUUCAGCAAUUUAGAAUAAGAUACUAAUUAAGGAUGGAGAGUCAUUAUUGUUGGCAAUUUCACAAAUCGCAU